UAUUUAUAUCUAACAAAUAUAGUAAAAUUAUAAUUUUGUUAAAUCUAUUAAUUUAGUUAUUAUCAUUAUUAUUAUUAUUAUUAUUAAAUGCUAAUUAAUAAUGAUUAUUGCUAUUAAACUAAUUGUAUUGUUACUAUUAUGUACAUUGUUGUCUAUUGUUGAUGGAAAACUAAUAUGCACUUAUGAUGGCGAACAAUGUGACAAUAAAAUAAGUUGUUGUAAUCUAAAAUCUAAAUGUAUCCAGAUGAAAAGAUCGGAAAAUUAUAUAUGCUAUUUAAAAAAUGAUACUAACUGUAUUAAACCAGGCGAACCAUGUACAGAUAACUAUCAUUGUUGUAACAAUUAUUGUCGAAAUUAUAAUGGUAAAUGGGAAUGCUGGAUAGAUAAAUGCCUGAAACCUGGAUUUCCAUGUAGAAAUAAUCACGAUUGUUGCAACAAUUAUUGUCGCGAAUUUAAUGGUCGAAUGGAAUGCUGGAAAAAAUUUAAUUGUCUAACAUCGGGUAAUGAAUGUUUAGUUGAUGGCGAUUGUUGUGGCCGUAAUUGCGUGGAAAAUAAAAUUGAUAAACGUUCGAGAUGCAAUGGUUUUAAAAAUAGACCUGGUUGCAUAAAACAGGACCAACCAUGUAAAACUAAAAAAGAUUGUUGCAAAGGAAUUUGUGAUAAAUAUAAAAAAUGCUUAUAUUUUUAAAAUUACCUUUUUUUUAAAAAAAAAUAGCUAAUAGCGUCGUUCAUGUAUUACGUUCGCACUUUUUUUUGAAGAAAUCUAGACCCCCUCCCUCCCAUAUGUUCGCAUGUAGUGAUUUAAAAAAAAUUACGUUCGCUUAGCCCUAACCGCUACCCCCUCUAUCACCCAUAAGAAAUAAACUAUUAUCUAAAUGCGAACGUUCUUAAAGUCUCUUCCCUCUUAAAACCCUCCCCUUCCCCUCGUUCGCAAAAGAUCGCUUUGACUAACCCCCCCUCCCUCACCACAAGUGCGAACGUAAUAUGUGAACAACGCCUAACAUUAAAUGCAUAAUAAGAUUUUGCAUAAUUUAUUUUAUUUGGCUAUUUAUAUAGAUUAUAAAAAUUUAUUAAUAGUUAUUGGAUAACUUUGGAUUAAUAGAUA